GAUGAACGCUGACAGCAUGCUUAACACAUGCAAGUCUACUUGAACUUCGGUUUGGGUGGCGGACGGGUGAGUAACGCGUAAAGAACUUACCUCACAGUUAGGGACAACAUUUAGAAACGAAUGCUAAUACCUGAUAUUAUGAUUUUAGGGCAUCCUAAGAUUAUGAAAGCUAUAUGCGCUGUAAGAGAGCUUUGCGUUCCAUUAGCUAGUUGGAGAGGUAACGUCUCACAAAGGCGAGGAUGACUAGCCGGCCUGGGAGUGUGAACUGCCACAAGGGCCCGGAGGAACGACCAUUACUCCAUCUGGAGGCAGCGGCGGGGAAUAGUGGACGAAGGACCAAAAGUGUGAUCCAGCACUUCUGUGUGUACGACGACGUUUUUAGGAAUGUAAAGAGCUUUAAGUUGGGAAGAAAAAAAUGACGGUACCAACAGAAGAAGUGACGGCUAAAUACGUG
rnacentral:rRNA from 1 species